rnacentral:rRNA from 1 species
AGAGUUUGAUCCUGGCUCAGGACGAACGCUGGCGGCGUGCUUAACACAUGCAAGUCGAGCGGAAAGGCCCUUCGGGGUACUCGAGCGGCGAACGGGUGAGUAACACGUGAGUAACCUGCCCCUGACUCUGGGAUAAGCCUGGGAAACUGGGUCUAAUACCGGAUACGACCUCCUGCGGCAUCGUGGGUGGUGGAAAGUUUUUCGGUUGGGGAUGGGCUCGCGGCCUAUCAGCUUGUUGGUGGGGUAGUGGCCUACCAAGGCGACGACGGGUAGCCGGCCUGAGAGGGCGACCGGCCACACUGGGACUGAGACACGGCCCAGACUCCUACGGGAGGCAGCAGUGGGGAAUAUUGCGCAAUGGGCGGAAGCCUGACGCAGCGACGCCGCGUGGGGGAUGACGGCCUUCGGGUUGUAAACCUUUUUCAGCAGGGACGAAGUUGACGUGUACCUGCAGAAGAAGCGCCGGCUAACUACGUGCCAGCAGCCGCGGUAAUACGUAGGGCGCAAGCGUUGUCCGGAAUUAUUGGGCGUAAAGAGCUCGUAGGUGGCUGGUCGCGUCUGCCGUGAAAGCCCGCAGCUUAACUGCGGGUCUGCGGUGGAUACGGGCCGGCUAGAGGUAGGUAGGGGCAAGUGGAAUUCCUGGUGUAGCGGUGAAAUGCGCAGAUAUCAGGAGGAACACCGGUGGCGAAGGCGGCUUGCUGGGCCUUACCUGACGCUGAGGAGCGAAAGCGUGGGGAGCGAACAGGAUUAGAUACCCUGGUAGUCCACGCUGUAAACGUUGGGCGCUAGGUGUGGGGGUCUUCCACGAUCUCCGUGCCGGAGCUAACGCAUUAAGCGCCCCGCCUGGGGAGUACGGCCGCAAGGCUAAAACCCAAAGGAAUUGACGGGGGCCCGCACAAGCGGCGGAGCAUGUUGCUUAAUUCGACGCAACGCGAAGAACCUUACCAAGGUUUGACAUCACCCGGAAACGUCCAGAGAUGGGCGCCCCUUCGGACUGGGUGACAGGUGGUGCAUGGCUGUCGUCAGCUCGUGUCGUGAGAUGUUGGGUUAAGUCCCGCAACGAGCGCAACCCUUGUUCCAUGUUGCCAGCACGCUCCUUCGGGGGUGGUGUGGACUCAUGGGAGACUGCCGGGGUCAACUCGGAGGAAGGUGGGGAUGACGUCAAGUCAUCAUGCCCCUUAUGUCUUGGGCUGCACACAUGCUACAAUGGCCGGUACAAAGGGCUGCAAUACCGUAAGGUGGAGCGAAUCCCUAAAAGCCGGUCUCA